CAGCAGCCGCGGGAAAACGGAGGGAGCUAGCGUUGUUCGGAAUUACUGGGCGUAAAGCGCACGUAGGCGGCUUGGUAAGUUAGAGGUGAAAGCCUGGAGCUCAACUCCAGAAUUGCCUUUAAGACUGCCGAGCUAGCAGGUGAGAGAGGUAAGUGGAAUUCCGAGUGUAGAGGUGAAAUUCGUAGAUAUUCGGAAGAACACCAGUGGCGAAGGCGGCUUACUGGCUCAUACUGGACGCUGAGGUGCGAAAGCGCGGGGAGCAAACAGGAUUAGAUACCCCAGUAGUCCCUGUCUCUUAUAC
rnacentral:rRNA from 1 species